UCUCACAAAUACUGUAGACACGGCU
rnacentral:piRNA from 1 species